rnacentral:rRNA from 1 species
CACGUAGGGCGCAAGCGUUGUCCGGAAUUAUUGGGCGUAAAGAGCUCGUAGGCGGUCUGUUACGUCUGCUGUGAAAACCCAGGGCUUAACCCUGGGCUUGCAGUGGAUACGGGCAGACUAGAGGCAGGUAGGGGAGAAUGGAACUCCCGGUGUAGCGGUGAAAUGCGCAGAUAUCGGGAGGAACACCGGUGGCGAAGGCGGUUCUCUGGGCCCGACCUGACGCUGAGGAGCGAAAGCGUGGGGAGCGAACAGG